rnacentral:rRNA from 1 species
CCUACGGGAGGCAGCAGUGGGGAAUAUUGGGCAAUGGCGGCAACUCUGACCCAGCAAAGCCGCGUGAAUGAUGAAGGUCUUCGGCUUGGACAGUUCUGUGAUGGGGGAUGAACACAAGGACGGUACCCCAAUAGCAAGACACGGCUAACUACGAGCCAGCAGCAGCGGUAAUCCGUAGGUGGCAAGCGUUAUCCGGAAUGACUGGGCGUAAAGGGUGCGUAGGUGGUUUAGGAAGUUGGCGGUGUAAUUCCGGGGCUCAACCUCGGCGCUACCGCCAAAACGAUGAGACUAGAGUGUAGGAGGGGUAAGUGGAAAUCCUAGUGUAGCGGUGGAAUGCUUAGAUAUUAGGAGGAACAUCAGGGGCGAAGGCGACUUACUGGACUGUAACUGACACUGAGGCACGAAAGCGUGGGGAGCAAACAGGAUUAGAUACCCCUGGAGUC